rnacentral:rRNA from 1 species
UACGUAGGUGGCGAGCGUUGUCCGGAAUUACUGGGCGUAAAGGGCGCGUAGGCGGAUAUCUAAGUUGGGGGUGAAAUCCCGGGGCUCAACCUCGGAAUUGCCUUCAAAACUGGAUAUCUUGAGUUCGGGAGAGGUGAGUGGAACUCCGAGUGUAGAGGUGAAAUUCGUAGAUAUUCGGAAGAACACCAGUGGCGAAGGCGACUCACUGGCCCGAUACUGACGCUGAGGCGCGAAAGCGUGGGGAGCAAACAGG